AUGGACUACUAGGGUAUCUAAUCCUGUUCGAUACCCGCACCUUCGAGCUUCAGCGUCAGUUGCGCUCCCGUAAGCUGCCUUCGCAAUCGGAGUUCUUCAUGAUAUCUAAGCAUUUCACCGCUACACCAUGAAUUCCGCCUACGUUGUGCGCACUCAAGUCUGACAGUUCGCGCUGCAAUCUAGAAGUUGAGCUACUACAUUUCACAACACGCUUACCAAACGGCCUACGCUCCCUUUAAACCCAAUAAAUCCGGAUAACGCCCGAACCUUCCGUAUUACCGCGGCUGCUGGCAC
rnacentral:misc_RNA from 1 species